rnacentral:lncRNA from 1 species
UGCCUUCUAGCAAAGAUGUGGGUUACAGUGUGGGAGCUGGCUGGAAUUUAAUGCUGGUGUGAUCGCCAUGGAAAUAAUUAGCCAUGAUUUCUCAAGCCUUCUGGUUACUGGAAGCUGUCACCACAGACUUUCAUUUUGUACCCCUGAAAUGGAAGUGAAGUCUAGGAAGUAGCUGAAGAGGUGAUGAAGACUCAAUGAUGAUGUCAACUUUGCUGAAUUCUCUGAUCCCAGCACCAAGAAAAAUGGAAAAAUGUUUAAGGGACAGCCAUCAUAAAGGUAAUUAGCUUCUCCUGCUUACCUAAAAAGUCAUCGUUUGAUAGGCUGGCAUAUUUUUUUCAGAUAACAGGGUUAUAAAUGUAGUGCUUGAUCUAUAAUUGCUGGAGCUAUAUGUUUGCUUUUGUGACAGUAAAACCAAGAACCUGUUUUCUCAUGAAUGUUAGGAGUUUCAUCGGCUUAGAAUCCUAACGUGGUUAUUUCAGAUUUUAAAAUAUUUUUUCCUUUUUAACACUUUGCUUUGUAAAGAUCCUGAAUUCUUUCUUACAAUGUUAAUGAUUUCACACUUUUUAUCAUGUUAAGUGUGAAAGGUUAAGCAUCCAGACUGUAGAAAGAGCUAAAUUACUCUUGUACUAAUCACUGUCUGCUGGAGGAAAUUACUGUAUUAUGUAUUACUGUUGAGAUACUGGUGAAUCAAUAUUCAUGUAGAAGCCUGAACUCUUACAAUUUCUACAGUUUAUAACUGUUGUAUUUAAUUAGACUCUUUUCAAGGGUAAAAGAAAUGAUUAAUUGUAUUUUGUAUCUUAAAAAGUCUUUGUACACCUGGCUGGCAUGCUUUUCAUUCUCCAGAUUGUGAUGCUUAGAUAAAAUAUAUAUUCCUUAGAAUGACAGAAAUAACGCUGCCCUGUAAUUAGUACAGCACUAAUUAAUUAUCAAGUGUAUGUACUUGAACAGUUAAAUUUUUCAUUGUUGAAUUGUACCUCCAAGUUCAUCUAUGUUCUUUGAGUAGACAAAUUUUGCAAGAAAAGGCAUCUUUCCAUAACUAUUGCAAGUAAAGUAGGAAAUAUAAGUUAGAUAUUUGUCAGGUUUCACACCAAGGUCCCUGAGUACUUCUUGUUCUUGUGGAAUGAAAACAUCCCCUGCUAGUCUGGCUCUACAGCAUACAGUGUCCUUUGAUCCCAAAGGCCCAAGUCCAGAAAGCAAAAGAUAAAUAGAC